ACAAGCAGCGGAGCGUGUGGUUUAAUUCGAUGCUACACGAAGAACCUUACCAGGGUUUGACAUGCAAGUGGUAGGAAACCGAAAGGCGACGACCUUCGGGAGCUUGCACAGGUGCUGCAUGGCUGUCGUCAGCCCGUGUCGUGAGAUGUUCGGUUAAGUCCGCUAACGAGCGCAACCCUCGCUGUGUGUUACAAGUGUCACACGGGUACUGCCGGUCUUAAGCCGGAGGAAGGUGGGGAUGACGUCAAGUCAGCAUGGCCUUUAUGUCCUGGGCUACACACACGCUACAAUGGCCAACACAAUAGGUUGCUAAGCCGCGAGGUGGAGCCAAUCCUCAAAGUUGGUCUCAGUUCAGAUUGCAGGCUGCAACCCGCCUGCAUGAAGAUGGAGUUGCUAGUAACCGCAGGUCAGCUAUACUGCGGUGAAUACGUUCCCGGGCCUU
rnacentral:rRNA from 1 species